CGGCCUCGCCAGGCCCAGCCUCCUGCCUCCCGAAGGCCUGCGCAGGCCCAGCCUCUGCCUCCCAGCGGACUCUCCACGCCCAGCUCUGGCCUGACUGCGGCCUCCCCAGGCCAGAGCUCCUCCUGCCUUUCGGCAGCUCCGCCGGGCCCCGCUCCUGCCUCCCAGUGGCC